AAUGAACGCUGGCGGCGGGCCUAACACAUGCAAGUCGAGCGAACGAAGGGGGAUUGCUCCCGGAUGACGUGGCGGACGGGUGGGUGAUGAACAGGAGUCUGACUGAUCGUGGGGGAUGGGGUACGGACACGGGAGCGAAUAUAGCAUCGGACAAGAGAGAGAACGUGGGGGGUCAAUGGUCAUCACGGUUUGUGCUGAGACUAGGACGCAUUAGCUAGUUGGAGGGGUAACGGCCUACCAAGGCGACGAUCCGAAGCUGGUCUGAGAGGAUGAUCAGUCACACUGGAACUGAGACACGGUCCAGACUCCUACGGGAGGCAGCAGUAGGGAAUAUUGCGCAAAGGGCGAAAGCCUGAUCGAGCAAUGCCGCGUGAGUGAUGAAGGUCUUCGGAUUGUAAAGCACUGUAAGUUGGGAGGAAGGAAAGUGUGUUUAACCCUGCCCGUAUUGACGUUACCUACAGAAUAAGCACCGGCUAACUACGUG
rnacentral:rRNA from 1 species